CUACAGCAGCUUCCAUCACUCUAAAUGCAGCACAAACAUGUUCUCUUCAGCUUCACUGCUGCUGCUGGCUGCUGCCUCCUAUGUGUUCUGUGCUACUGAGCUCAUCCAGCCAGACUCAGUGCUCAUCAAACCAGCAGAGCCUUUAACCAUCACCUGUACAGUAUCUGGAGCUUCCAUCACUGACAGCAGCAGUCAUUAUGGAACAGCCUGGAUCCGCCAACCUGCAGGAAAAGCUCUGGAAUGGAUCAACACCAUUGAUUAUGAUGGGAGCAUAGUUGCUAAAGAUUCACUGAAAAGCAAGUUUAGUGUCUCUCGAGACACAAGCAGCAACACAGUAACCCUACAAGGACAGAAUCUACAAGCUGAAGACACAGCUGUGUAUUACUGUGCUCGAGACUCACACUGA